rnacentral:rRNA from 1 species
GAUGAACGCUGGCGGCGUGCCUAAUACAUGCAAGUCGAACGAAGAGGGGACGGGGGAGUAACACGUGGAUAACCUCCUAUAAGACGGGGGUAAAUUCGGGGAACCGUAGCUAAACCGGAUAAUUAUAGAUGGAGCCGUUCUGCAUUAGCUAGUGGGUAAGGUAACGUCUUACCAAGGCAACGAUGCAUAGCCGCCCUGAGAGGGUGACCGGCCACACUGGAACUGAGACACGGUCCAGACUCCUACGGGAGGCAGCAGUAGGGAAUAUUCCGCAAUGGGCGAAAGCCUGACAGAGCAACGCCGCGUGAGUGAUGAAGGUCUUCGGAUCGUAAAACUCUGUCAUUAGGGAAGCGGUACCUACACGGAAAGCCACGGCUAACUACGUGCCAGCAGCCGCGGUAAUUC